rnacentral:lncRNA from 1 species
GGGAACUGGGCCUAGUAACAAAAGACUGUUCUCGGAACAAAAGACCAGGCUUCUGGGCAUUACCAACAUUUUUGUCACUCUCAAUAGUGAAGAAUAUCCAGCCAUGUUUUGAAACAGUACACCACGGUUUGGGGAUUUAGCAAGAGCGGAUUACCACCCGGGACAAAAGCGCUCCACCACUGCAGCAAUGAGCCACACAGCACCGCUUCACACUAAUCUGGCCCCUAUUGAAAAGAAGUCAGCAGCACACUGUGUCAGUUGUAUUUUCGGAUUGCCUCUACCAGUUGCAAGAUUGUACACUCUUCUUUUUCCAAAUGUUGGCGGAUACUUGGAACUCGACCCACAAGAUUUAUUUUUGGACUUAGAGACAGAUCCUGCAAGAUUCUUCAGAAUGUCAGGAGAAACACCUGUGUCGCUCCUGCAAAUUGUAACUGACAUUGACCACCUGAUUACCAAUCAAGGACAUGGACGGCGCCAUCGGCAUUCAUCUGGGAACAGAGUUCUUAUUGCAAUGAUUUGGUGAAGGCAGUACCCUACUUACGAUGUGUCAGCUUCCCUAUGCAACAUUUUGCAAGCUGCAAUUUCAAGAGAGAGUUAUGUCCUUAUUCCUUUACUUUGGUAUUAUUUUCAUGCACGCAUCACCUUGCCAACUGUUAAAGAGUGGGCGGCCCUCAGAGGCCACUGGCCAAUGUUCUCUAACGCAGUAGGAGCAAUAGACGGUAUAUUACAUGAAAUUCUGCAACCACAAUCGGAGGCCGAGCAUGAAUUCUACAGUGGAUACUCUCGCUUUCGUUGUAUGAGUACACAGAUUGUAAUUGACAGUGAGAGAAACCUCCGAUUUGUACAAAGUGGAUUUUUGGGUCACAAUGAUGCCAGCAAGUACAAGCUGAUGCCAGGAAUCGGACCAGGACUGCAACUGCCUUUUCCGAAUGACGUCUGUCCGCUUAGUGACAACGGCUAUGCAAACAGAUACCUAAUCAUGACGAAAUUUAGAGCUGACCAAAUUCGACAGGUCAUGGAUAAUGCGGACCAAGUUGUGGUGCACACACAAUUCGUGUUGAACAUGUGGUUUCAUAUUUUAAAUCAUAUAGAGCUAUCAAGGAGGUCUAUCGACAUCCCGGGUGGUUGAUGCCAAUUGUAGCUGAACUCUGUGCACUACUGGGACAGAGACACAUCACACUGUCAGAGCACAUCCACUGAGGUUUUACCAAAAUUAUUGUUCAACAACGUAAAGCCAGUGUCAUUGCAUUUGUUGUUUAGGUACACAAAAUAAAACAAACGUUCAUGAAUCUGGAUGAAACAAAUAAAUCAUCAAAUUUUCUUUUGCAAAACUGUCUGUGGAUCCACAAGAAUGUUUGUAUAACAGUAUGCCUGAUAAUCUAAUUUAUAUUCAAUAUUGAGUCGGCAGAAGAGGGGCCGCGUAAGGCAAGCAUUGGCAAAAAAUGACGAUCAACAGUUAGAAUUACCAAAAUGCUCUUAUUAAUGCUUACUGUCUACAAAUCAUAGUGAAUAUUGUUAUCCUUUUGAUCGCAACAUAUGGAUAUCUUGCCACUGUCUAUCACCAUAAAGUAAAGUAGCAUGGUUUCUCUAUGGAAGCAUCCAAAUCGAAAGCCUGUCAAACAAUGGCCAAGGGUUUAUCCACU